rnacentral:pre_miRNA from 1 species
UUCAAAAGACUGUGUUUCAGGAUAUGUAAAUUAUGUAUCACAGUUAUUUUGAAUCUG